AACAACAUUAAUUAAGGUUUUAUUGUCAUUUUUCGGUAAUAUAUAGUAGCAGGUACUUUGUAAAUAUUACAUUUGAUAAAGACACGGUGUUCUCGAAACAAUUGUGAUGUAAAAAUAUAUAAUUUCGUGAAAAUCUGAACUUUUAGUUCUUAUUUAUUUUGAUAAAUGGAUUUUCAUCAAGUAAAAGCCACCUCAGUUCAAUCCCUCGUCAAGUUUCAUUUAUUACGCCACAAUAACGAAUAAAAUUGGUUAUUUUGUUGCACGUGGAUCGAUAUUUCGAAUUAUUUUGUUGUUUUAUUCUUCGUUAACUCACUUUGGCUCCGUAUAUGUAAACCGAUAAUGCGAAAAACUUGUAUUAAAUGGAAAUAUGUAAUUAUCGCGUACGGCCAUUGUAGUUUUAACACUUUAAGCGGCCCGAGCGUUUCAAAUCGACCAGUCAAUUUUUAAUUUAUUUGUUCGCGUUAUUUUUAAAAAGGUGCUACGCCGGGCGCAUAAAAUAAGCGCACAUUUUUAAUUUUUAAGCCGGUAGAGAAAUGUCAAGGACGAGAAAGAGCAACAAUACUUCGGGCGUCAUUUAUUGGCUAUAAUUAAAAUUACUUCCAAGUUAUUAAGCGAUAUUUAGCAUAUAAGCACUUAAGACUCCUAUACUGAAGCAGAAGCAAACUUUCGAGCGUCACCAUGAAUAUGUAUAUGUUUGCUGGGGUCUGGAAACAAAUGCUAGCCUUUUCUAAAGCUCUAUUGUUUUAAAAAUUAUGAAGUUUAGAUAGAUAGAUAUAGAUAUAGUGAGCCUCUUUCUUUUUAAACCUUUCUGUUUUAGUCCUCUAUUGUUAAAAAGUGUGUCAGAAACAAUCGAGGUUCGAAGCAGGUUCAAGUUUCCAAAUAUUCUUUGGUUCUCUUCGCUAAACCGAUGAAAGGAAAAGACGACAGCUAUAUAAGGCAUAUGGACGUUCAAAAAAUAUAAAUCCGUUAACCAUAUAUUUCUUUAGCUUUCCUUACGAUAUUUUCUAUUAGAAUACUGGUUUUCAAAUAUGCGAGGUAUCAAAGUUGUGUAUUUGGAAUACGGAAGUGUAUUUUGGAAUAUUUUUAUGCAUCGCAUAUCGCUAUCGCACUCUGACAGUUUUUUAUGAAAGUUAAUUAAAGGAAACAACAAAAGUGUAUAUGUUUUACAAUUUUUGUUUUAUUUAAUUAAAAAAUACUACGCACUUCCUUGGCAAGAACGUGACAUGAUUAAUAAUUUGUCAAAAGUUUUUAAGGAAUAGUAGAGAUGUAAGAAACGACCCUUAGCAGCUUUCUAUAUCACAACAGUAUGGCUUCUCUUCGAAAAAGGUCAUAUGAAGUUAAAUACUAUCUGCGUAAUACAACUUCGUGACUAUUUAUAAUAACGAUAGUUUAGUUCUUUACCAUUUAAAAUGAAUUUCGUGCAACCUUUGGGCUUCUAAUGGCCAAAUUGUUUCUCACUCAGCUUAAUUGGUUAAAUUUAUCUGAUAUUGUGCAAACAAAAAUAAUUUUCCUUUUGUGUCCGUAUCCCCAAAUAAAUUAAUCCUAAUUGGCAUGCAAAUUAAGGCAAUUCAAUUUAGUUAAAUUUCUCCGCGGUAAUUAAUAAAAACUCUUGCGAAACGAUGCUUAAAUGCAUUUAACAACUGGCACCAAAAACGAAAUCGAGCUUAAGACUCGUAAAACUGACUAUAAUUUUUACUCCGUUAGUUCUUUUCUACGGCAGUAACCUUUGCGACGGCGAAUGUCAAGGAUAUUUUUACAACCGUUCUUUCUAGGCGCAAUUACAUGCAAACUGUAACCAGAUCCGUAUCUUUUAACUUAUACACCCGUGCGCUAGCGAACUCUUCGUCCAACAAUAAGAGAUGAAAAGCCGGAAGAAGCAGCCAGCGUGAAAUUCUCCUGUACGGACACAAAUUUCUUGGGAAUACGCUCUGCUGCAUGAAGUAUAUCGUUCGUAAAACACAGAAUACUAUAAGACAGGUGAGUGGCUAGCACCGGUAAAGUUCUUAAAUUGUCAAAUAAGAAGAAAUCCAGAGAAUUGAAAUUUUAAUUAAUAUUGGAUAUGGAGGCACAACGACAACUCAGGAAGACUUUUGUAAUUUGUUUAAUUUUGCGUGUAUUACAAGAAGAAAAGUAUCACCCGUACAAGAUUAUAUUACUACCGGAGCUGAACGAAGACGAUCCCGAGCGCAGAAUAUAGUUUUGUGAAGCUAUGAUGGAAAUGUGCAACUUAAAUCCAUUUUUUCUUCAUCAUCAGAUUCUGGUCUUGUAAAAACAUCAGAGGGCAUGGAAGCUGCUAUAGGGAGGACAGUAAAGUUAAGUGGCAUUGCAAGGACAACCUUGCAUCGAUUCCUUGAUAAUGAUUUACUAGGAUGGAAAGAACGAUGUGACAUAGGCAUAAUAAAAGUGUUUAAGAAUGGUGAUGCAGAGUGGAUUCGCAGAGAAGUGUUUACGAUGUAUUAGAGUAAUCAGAGUCCGUAACCUGAAUAAUUGCAACAUAAAUGAAAAAAAAUUGUCGAUUUUUUGCCAAUCGUGAAAUAUUAAGUCGAUUUCUGGAGAAAAUCGAAUUUAAAUUUAAAAAUAUUGACAAGCGUAGUUGUAUUCCAGACGCCCAUGACACUAUAAAGAAAGGGUGGCAAAAUGCAAAAUUCUUUAUCAAACUGCAUUUUCAAUGUAUCUAAAGGAAAAAGAAUUCAUUAGUCCGUAUGACCUUUUUUAUGAAGAUAUUUAUACAAAAAAACAACUAGUUUUAGUUUUAAAAAUCCAAUCGCAUGAUAACACUUAUUGCGUAGACAGGAUCAUAAAAAAUCCGGUAAUAGAAAUAAUAAUUUGAUUUAGUAUAAAUUUAUUAUUAUACAGUACGAAAUACA